CCCCUUGUGGCAGAUAUAAUGUGCAGAAUUUAAGCUUCUGAGAUAGUUUACUCCUGGGGA
rnacentral:tRNA from 1 species